CAUCAUCAUAAUCCCCUGACCUGCUAGUGAAAUCUGCUAAUGCUGGACCCAUAGGGCCGCAGGGGAGUUAGCCUGUCGCUGGCCGGGCAGUCCAGAACUGAGGGAGUAUUUUUGUAGAUUCCAAUCAGAAAUGUGGAUGCGGUUAUUGGUGUCCCGUUGGAAGAGAUCAGCUAACCUUAGCAGAAGACAAGACUUCCCCUCACGGAUCUCUCCUUGUGGCAGCUGUAGGAUACACAAGAACUCCAUGACCUGGAAAAUGUGGGACAACUGACACAAG